rnacentral:tRNA from 1 species
UGGGGUUUAGCUCAGUGGCAGAGCAUUUCUCUAGCAUGUGUGAGGUCAUGGGUUCAAGUCCCAGAACUACAA